CUGGCGGCGUGCCUAAUACAUGCAAGUCGAACGGUCUUUCUAUGGAAGCUUGCUUCCACUGAGAAGAUAGUGGCGAACGGGUGAGUAACACGUGGGUAACCUGCCCAUAAGAGGGGGAUAACAUCCGGAAACGGGUGCUAAUACCGCAUAGUUUUCUUGAUUGCAUGAUCGGGAAAGGAAAGACGGCCUUUGUGCUGUCGCUUAUGGAUGGACCCGCGGCGUAUUAGUUAGUUGGUGAGGUAACGGCUCACCAAGACGAUGAUACGUAGCCGACCUGAGAGGGUGAUCGGCCACAUUGGGACUGAGACACGGCCCAAACUCCUACGGGAGGCAGCAGUAGGGAAUCUUCCGCAAUGGACGAAAGUCUGACGGAGCAACGCCGCGUGAGUGAAGAAAGGUUUUCGGAUCGUAAAACUCUGUUGUCAGAGAAGAACAAGUUGGAGAGUAACUGCUCCAGCCUUGACGGUAUCUGACCAGAAAGCCACGGCUAACUACGUGCCAGCCGCGGC
rnacentral:rRNA from 1 species